rnacentral:rRNA from 1 species
UGCAAGUCGAACGGUAACAGGAAGAAGCUUGCUUCUUUGCUGACGAGUGGCGCACGGGUGAGUAAGGUAUAGGUAACGUGCCCCAUAGAGAGGGAUAGCCACUGGAAACGGUGAUUAAUACCUCAUACUCCUUCUUUACAAAAGUAAAGUUGGGAAACGGAUUUCCGCUAUGGGAUCGGCCUAUAUGGUAUCAGGUAGUUGGUGGGGUAACGGCCUACCAAGCCAAUGACGCCUAGCUGGUUUGAGAGGAUGAUCAGCCACACUGGUACUGAGACACGGACCAGACUCCUACGGGAGGCAGCAGUGAGGAAUAUUGCACAAUGGAGGAAACUCUGAUGCAGCAACGCCGCGUGGAGGAUGACGCAUUUCGGUGUGUAAACUCCUUUUAUCAGGGAAGAAGAUGACGGUACCUGAUGAAUAAGCUCCGGCUAACUCCGUGCCAGCAGCCGCGGUAAUACGGGGGGAGCAAGCGUUACUCGGAAUCACUGGGCGUAAAGGACGCGUAGGCGGCCUAUUAAGUCAGGUGUGAAAUCCUACAGCUUAACUGUAGAACUGCACUUGAAACUGGUAGGCUAGAGUAUGGAAGGGGCAGAUGGAAUUAGUGGUGUAGGGGUAAAAUCCGUAGAUAUCACUAGGAAUACCGAAAGCGAAGGCGAUCUGCUGGGACAUUACUGACGCUAAGGCGUGAAAGCGUGGGGAGCAAACAGGAUUAGAUACCCUGGUAGUCCACGCCCUAAACGAUGAACACUAGUCGUCGGGGUACUCGUUACUCCGGUGAUGCACCUAA